AGAGAGAAGUUUUGAGGCGAUUUUGUGGGUUCUAGCCUUCAACAGCGUUGCCGCUUGCCGUCCAGAGCUGACUGCCUCUUCACUCUCUCUGUCUCUCACAACACAAACGCACAUAUACCCCUGUCUCUCUCUCGCCGCCCAUAGUUACCAGGCAUCUGGAUUCUUCUUUGGGGUGUGCUCAAGGCAUUCUUCUUCGCAAGAAAAAAAGGGCUAGGGUUUCAUGUGCGUUGUUCUCUCUCUCGAUGAAGGAUAGGUUUGCGAAAGCUUGACAAAGAUCUGGAUCCCCGUUGUUUUGCACAUCGUUGUUUGAUCACGAAAGAGUUCAGGUCCCCUUUGUGCGUUGGAUCCGUGUGGAACGUCAAAGCCAUCUGGCCUUGAAUGGAGUUUUUUGCUGUGGAAACCGCCGGUAGAAUGAGAACAAUUGCUGUUGUGUCAACUCAUAGAGCCCCUGGACACCUCUACUACAGACCAUUUAGCAACUUUGUGUGUGAUUAAGAUUUUCAAAGCUAAAACUUUUCAGAAUGCAGGAGCAACAACAAUUAGAACUGUUUCUCUAUUAUGCCCGAUUGCUCCACAUGUUUGGCACUCUAAUUAUGUUGAGAAUAUAGAUAGUAUGGUGC